rnacentral:rRNA from 1 species
GAUGAACGCUGGCGGCGUGCCUAAUACAUGCAAGUCGAGCGAACAGACGAGGAGCUUGCUCCUCUGACGUUAGCGGCGGACGGGUGAGUAACACGUGGAUAACCUACCUAUAAGACUGGGAUAACUUCGGGAAACCGGAGCUAAUACCGGAUAAUAUAUUGAACCGCAUGGUUCAAUAGUGAAAGACGGUUUUGCUGUCACUUAUAGAUGGAUCCGCGCCGCAUUAGCUAGUUGGUAAGGUAACGGCUUACCAAGGCGACGAUGCGUAGCCGACCUGAGAGGGUGGUCGGCCACACUGGAACUGAGACACGGUCCAGACUCCUACGGGAGGCAGCAGUAGGGAAUCUUACGCAAAGGGCGAAAGCCUGACGGAGCAACGCCGCGGGAGGGAUGAAGGUCUUCUGAUCGUAAAACUCUGUUAUUAGGGAAGAACAAAUGUGUAAGUAACUAUGCACGUCUUGACGGUACCUAAUCAGAAAGCCACGGCUAACUACGUG